rnacentral:rRNA from 1 species
AUGAACGCUGGCGGCGUGCCUAAUACAUGCAAGUCGAGCGAACAGACGAGGAGCUUGCUCCUCUGACGUUAGCGGCGGACGGGUGAGUAACACGUGGAUAACCUACCUAUAAGACUGGGAUAACUUCGGGAAACCGGAGCUAAUACCGGAUAAUAUAUUGAACCGCAUGGUUCAAUAGUGAAAGACGGUUUUGCUGCCACUUAUAGAUGGAUCCGCGCCGCAUUAGCUAGUUGGUAAGGUAACGGCUUACCAAGGCAACGAUGCGUAGCCGACCUGAGAGGGUGAUCGGCCACACUGGAACUGAGACACGGUCCAGACUCCUACGGGAGGCAGCAGUAGGGAAUCUUCCGCAAUGGGUGAAAGCCUGACGGAGCAACGCCGCGUGAGUGAUGAAGGUCUUCGGAUCGUAAAACUCUGUUAUUAGGGAAGAACAAAUGUGUAAGUAACUAUGCACGUCUUGACGGUACCUAAUCAGAAAGCCACGGCUAACUACGUG